rnacentral:rRNA from 1 species
CAGCAGCCGCGGUAAUUCCGGCGGCCCGAGUGGCGGUCACUCUUAUUGGGCUUAAAGCGUCCGUAGCCGGGUUGGGAAAUCCUCCGGGAAAUCUGGCCGCUUAACGGUCAGAAUGCCGGAGGAUACUCCCAGCCUAGGGAGCGGGAGAGGCCGAGGGUAUUCCCGGAGUAGGGGUGAAAUCCUAUAAUCCCGGGAGGACCACCUGUGGCGAAGGCGCUCGGCUGGAACGCGUCCGACGGUGAGGGACGAAGGCCAGGGGAGCAAACCGGAUUAGAUACCCGGGUAGUCCUGGCGGUAAACGAUGCGGACUUUGUGUCGGACAAGCUAUGAGCUUGUCCGGUGCCGGAGGGAAACCGUUAAGUCCGCCGCCUGGGGAGUACGGCCGCAAGGCUGAAACUUAAAGGAAUUGGCGGG